ACAUAUUCCAGAGCCUAAUUCAUUACAUUUUAAUAAAUAUAAUUACUAUCAAAUCCUAAAAUAACAAAAUUUACAAUUUUAAAAUUGUAAAUGUAACCCAUCUCUUCUUUUAGAAGCUGCACCUUGAUUUGAUAUAAAACAAAAUUUUAUAAAAAGAAAAUUAUUAUUCUAACAAAAUAUUCAAUAUAACAACGAUAUACAAGCAACUAUAAAAGUAAAAUAAAUUGUGGACUAUCAAUUACAGGACAGGUUCCUCUGAUAGGUUGAAAUACCGCCAAGAUAUUUAAUUUUCAAGAACUUAACUAAUACUAAUCCGGUUUAAUAAUAACAACAAUUUUAAUAACAGGGUAUCUAAUCCUGGUUUAUAAAUAAAAUUUUCCUAGAUCAUUUAAUUAAUAAAUUUAAUUUUAAUAUUAAAAUUUCACCUCUCAAUAUAACUUUUUAAAUAUAAAAUUAAUUAACUAUUUAACCAUAAAAAUUAAGUAACUCUUUUUGUAUAACCGCA
rnacentral:rRNA from 1 species